rnacentral:rRNA from 1 species
GAUGAACGCUGGCGGCGUGCCUAAUACAUGCAAGUCGAGCGAACAGACGAGGAGCUUGCUCCUCUGACGUUAGCGGCGGACGGGUGAGUAACACGUGUAUAACCUCCCUAUAAGAGUGGGAUAACUUCGGGAAACCGGAGCUAAUACCGGAUAAUAUAUUGAACCUCAUGGUUCAAUAGUGAAAGACGGUUGUGCUGUCACUUAUGGAUGGAUCCGCGCCGCAUUAGCUAGUUGUUAAGGUAACGGCUGACCAAGGCAACGAUGCGUAGCCGACCUGAGAGGGUGAUCGGCCACACGGGAACUGAGACACGGUCCAGACUCCUACGGGAGGCAGCAGUAGGGAAUCUUCCGCAAUGGGGGAAAGCCUGACGGAGCAACGCCGCGUGAGUGAUGCAGGUCUUCGGAUCGUAAACCUCUGUUAUUAGGGAAGAACAAAUGUGUACGUAACUAUGCACGUCUUGACGGUACCUAAUCAGAAAGCCACGGCUAACUACGUG